rnacentral:rRNA from 1 species
GAGUUUGAUCGUGGCUCAGAACGAACGCUGGCGGCGUGGAUAAGACAUGCAAGUCGAACGGGAUUUUCUUUGGUAGCAAUACCGAAGAAAGUCUAGUGGCGAACGGGUGCGUAACACGUGGGCAAUCUGCCCUAAAGUGGGGGAUAGCUCGGCGAAAGCCGGAUUAAUACCGCAUGUGAUUACCGGAGAAUUCUUCGGAACAUCAAAGUCGGGGCAACCUGACGCUUUUUGAGGAGCCCGCGGCCUAUCAGCUAGUUGGUGAGGUAACGGCUCACCAAGGCUUUGACGGGUAGCUGGUCUGAGAGGACGACCAGUCACACUGGAACUGAGACACGGUCCAGACACCUACGGGUGGCAGCAGUCGAGAAUUUUUCUCAAUGGGGAAACCCUGAAGGAGCGACGCCGCGUGGAGGAUGAAGGUCUUCGGGUUGUAAACUCCUGUCAUUUGGGAACAAUGCUUACGUAUUAACUGUACGUGAGUUGAUAGUACCAGAAGAGGAAGAGACGGCUAACUCUGUGCCAGCA